UGAACGCUAGCGGCAGGCUUAACACAUGCAAGUCGAGGGGCAGCGCGUUGUAGCAAUACGAAUGGCGGCGACCGGCGCAAGGGUGCGUAACGCGUGAGCAAUCUGCCCGUAGUCAGGGGGAUAAGCGAUGGAAACGUCGUCUAAUACCGCAUAACAACGUUGGAGGCAUCUCCGACGUUUGAAAGCUUCGGUGGAUACGGAUGAGCUCGCGAGACAUUAGUUAGUUGGCGGGGUAACGGCCCACCAAGACCGCGAUGUCUAGGGGAACUGAGAGGUUGGUCCCCCCACACUGGAACUGAGACACGGUCCAGACUCCUACGGGAGGCAGCAGUGAGGAAUAUUGGACAAUGGCCGGAAGGCUGAUCCAGCCAUGCCGCGUGAAGGAUAAGGUCCUAUGGAUUGUAAACUUCUUUUGAGUGGGAGCAAUAAGGAUGUCGUGACAUCCGAUGAGAGUACCAUUCGAAUAAGCAUCGGCUAACUCCGUGCC
rnacentral:rRNA from 1 species